CUCCCCAGCCUUGGGUGGAGCCCAAUUCUCGAAUACCACCACUGAAUUAGUGUGUAUGUGACCAAUGGCAAAGACCAGAGAGAGCACUUCUGUUUCACCCUUCUGCUGGCAGAUGCAGUGGCCCGGAAGAUUCCUGGUCUGGGAAGGACUCGGUCCCUGAGCGCACCCAUCCCUGACCAUUUUGGCGACCCCCAGUUAGGGGGUGGGUGGGUGGGUUGGACUCUGCAGAGUAAGCUCCUGUCUUCUCAUGGGCAGGGCCUUGGGGAGAGGGAGACAUCCUGGACUAGCUGAUGUCCGUGCCUAGGACCGAGAGAGGCGAGCUGCAGGCUUGCCACUUCAGGGAACGGUAGGUAGGAAGGCACCCCAAGUACGCUCAAGGGCACCCAAUCUGUAAAACGCAGAAAGGCCGACUGCAGGAGGAGUGGAGCCAAAUGGAGAAGAGUCUCAGAGGUAAGAGGGGGUAAAGCACGAGUUCCUCCUCGCUGAGCUCAGCCUUGCGGAUAAUCACCUCUGCCUCUUUCAAUCGCCCCUGGGAGAUGAGCCACCGGGGGGACUCCGGGAUGAACCUGGAAGUACAAGGAGCCAUCUCACUAAGACCAUCCUGCCCAAGGGACCAGGAGCCCAAACAGGGAUUUGUGGCUUGUUGCUGCCCCCUGGUGAAGGCUGAACAGAAGACAUCUGCCGACCCCAACCAGCCAGGAGGAUGCUGGGACUCUACCAGGUGAUACAGUAUGGCCAAGGACCUUGGUGAAGGCUAUUCUUCUCACUGUGGACUUCUCCAACAGACCCUGGAGCCCUGUGGUAGGAAGAUACGAUGUAAUUGAGCCCUCUGAGAACUUUAUGGAAACUAUGGGCCUUUAUUCAGAAAAAAAUGCUCAUAUACAAUCUCUAAAAUUUUGCAAAUAAUUUCAAGAAUAGAUGAACUCCUUAAGCCAUGAAUGUAACUUGAGUUAAAUGCCUUGGAAUUACAUAAAUGACCUGCUAUAGGUCAAAAGAGCACAUGUCCUUCCUGUUGCAAAGUAUGUGCUAGAACCAUAGGUAGCUAAGCGGUAUCAGCCCUAUGAACACAAGAGUUCUGCCUUUAUGCCACUACAGCCACUACUGUCUAGUUAGAUCUCCUCUCAUCAUGCAGAGAAAAUGAUGGUUGGGGAACACAGAGGUGGCCAUUCAUUGUACACUUGAAGAUCUUCAAUAAAGUUCUCUGCAUGUG